rnacentral:rRNA from 1 species
UCGGGAAUUUUGGGCAAUGGGCGAAAGCCUGACCCAGCAACGCCGCGUGAAGGAUGAAGUAUUUCGGUAUGUAAACUUCGUAAGAAUAGGAAGAAUAAAUGACGGUACUAUUUGUAAGGUCCGGCUAACUACGUGCCAGCAGCCGCGGUAAUACGUAGGGACCAAGCGUUGUUCGGAUUUACUGGGCGUAAAGGGCGCGUAGGCGGUGUGUCAAGUCAGUUGUGAAAUCUCCGAGCUUAACUCGGAACGGUCAACUGAUACUGUCACACUAGAGUACAGAAGGGGCAAUCGGAAUUCUUGGUGUAGCGGUGAAAUGCGUAGAUAUCAAGAGGAACACCUGAGGCGAAGGCGGGUUGCUGGGCUGAUACUGACGCUGAGGCGCGAAAGCUAGGGGUAGCAAACGGGAUUAGAUACCCACGUAGUCCCUGAGCGGGCUGGCAAGGCGCAU